rnacentral:hammerhead_ribozyme from 1 species
AUCUAGCUGACGAGUCUUAAGUAGGACGAAACACUUGUCUUGCAU